rnacentral:rRNA from 1 species
CAACAGGGAUUGCCCUAGUAACGGCGAGUGAAGCGGCAACAGCUCAAAUUUGAAAUCUGGCUUCGGCCCGAGUUGUAAUUUGCAGAGGAUGUUUCUGGCGCGGUGCCUUCCGAGUUCCCUGGAACGGGACGCCAUAGAGGGUGAGAGCCCCGUAUGGUUGGAUACCAAGCCUGUGUGAAACUCCUUCGACGAGUCGAGUAGUUUGGGAAUGCUGCUCAAAAUGGGAGGUAAAUCUCUUCUAAAGCUAAAUAUUGGCCAGAGACCGAUAGCGCACAAGUAGAGUGAUCGAAAGAUGAAAAGCACCUUGAAAAGGGGGUUAAACAGUACGUGAAAUUGUUGAAAGGGAAGCGCUCAUGACCAGACUUGUGCUGGGCAGCUCAUCCGGGGUUCUCCCCGGUGCAUUCUGCCCAGUUCAGGCCAGCAUCGAUUUUUGCUGGGGGAUAAGAACGGUAGGAACGUGGCCCUCCUUCGGGAGGGUGUUAUAGCCUACCGUACGAUACCCUAGCGGAGAUCGAGGUUCGCGCAUCUGCAAGGAUGCUGGCGUAAUGGUCAUCAGCGACCCGUCUUGAAACACGGACCAAGGAGUCGUCCAUUAGAGCGAGCGUUUGGGUGUAAAACCCGCACGCGUAAUGAAAGUGAAAUUAGGUGAGAGCUUCGGCGCAUCAUCGACCGAUCCUGAUGUUCUCGGAUGGAUUUGAGUAAGAGUUUUAACGGACGGACCCGAAAGACAGUGAACUAUGCUUGUAUAGGGUGAAGCCAGAGGAAACUCUGGUGGAGGCUCGCAGCGGGUCUGACGUGCAAAUCGAUCGUCAAAUAUGAGCAUGGGGGCGAAAGACUAAUCGAACUGUCUAGUAGCUGGUUACCGCCGA